CACUAGACGGGGAACUAGCGGUGCCUUGUAACCUGCAAUCCGCUGUAGCAGGGUUUAAUUCCCAGCCGAGGGAUAUUUUCUAUUUAUAAGCCUACUAAAGAUAGUGUUGACUGAUGGGUCUUACGCAACAGGAAACUGUGAACCAUGUCAGGACGGGAACGUAGCAGCAUUAAGCAGAUCUUUCUGUGUGCCGUAAGGUCACCUAUCACGAGCUAGACUU
rnacentral:SRP_RNA from 1 species